rnacentral:rRNA from 1 species
GUCUACGGCCAUACCACCCUGAACGCGCCCGAUCUCGUCUGAUCUCGGAAGCUAAGCAGGGUCGGGCCUGGUUAGUACUUGGAUGGGAGAAAUGAUGGCAAAAUUGGAAAGAAAACA